GCCUUGUGUGAAGGUAGUUAUCUCAAUUGAUUGUUCAGUCAGUUACAGAUGGAACUCCUUGUUCUACUCUUUCCCCCCUUCUCACUACUGCACUUGACUAGUCUAAA
ensembl:misc_RNA Y_RNA Y RNA